UACGGAGGGUGCAAGCGUUAUCCGGAUUCACUGGGUUUAAAGGGUGCGUAGGAGGUCAGGUAAGUCAGUGGUGAAAUCUUCGAGCUUAACUCGGAAACUGCCGUUGAUACUAUCUGUCUUGAAUACCGUGGAGGUGAGCGGAAUAUGUCAUGUAGCGGUGAAAUGCUUAGAUAUGACAUAGAACACCAAUUGCGAAGGCAGCUCGCUACACGAAUAUUGACUCUGAGGCACGAAAGCGUGGGGAUCAAACAGG
rnacentral:rRNA from 1 species